rnacentral:rRNA from 1 species
AGGGGUAACCUGAGUAAUAGCAAUAUUACUUAGGCUAGACCGGCGCACGGGUGCGUAACACGUAUGCAAUCUACCUUACACUGGAGGAUAACCCCGAGAAAUCGGGGCUAAUAUUCCAUAACACAAUGAAGUGGCAUCACUUUAUUGUUAAAGCUCCGGCGGUGUAAGAUGAGCAUGCGUCCAAUUAGCUAGUUGGUGAGGUAACGGCUCACCAAGGCUACGAUUGGUAGGGGUUCUGAGAGGAUGAUCCCCCACACUGGUACUGAGACACGGACCANACUCAUACGGGAGGCAGCAGUGAGGAAUAUUGCGCAAUGGACGAAAGUCUGACGCAGCCAUGCCGCGUGCAGGAUUGAAGGCCCUAUGGGUUGUAAACUGCUUUUGUACGGGAAUAAACCUUUCCUCGUGAGGGAAGCUGAAGGUACCGUAAGAAUAAGCACCGGCUAACUCCGUGCCAGCAGCCGCGGUAAUACGGAGGGUGCAAGCGUUAUCCGGAUUUAUUGGGUUUAAAGGGUCCGUAGGCGGAUCGUUAAGUCAGUGGUGAAAGCCCAUAGCUCAACUAUGGAACUGCCAUUGAUACUGGCGAUCUUGAGUAUAAUUGAAGUGGGCGGAAUGUGUGGUGUAGCGGUGAAAUGCUUAGAUAUCACACAGAACACCGAUUGCGAAGGCAGCUCACUAAUUUGUAACUGACGCUGAGGGACGAAAGUGUGGGGAUCAAACAGGAUUAGAUACCCUGGUAGUCCACACCGUAAACGAUGAUUCUAGAUUUGGCCUU